UACGUAGGUGGCAAGCGUUAUCCGGAUUUACUGGGUGUAAAGGGCGUGUAGGCGGGAAAACAAGUCAGAUGUGAAAACCAUGGGCUCAACCUGUGGCCUGCAUUUGAAACUGUUUUUCUUGAGUACUGGAGAGGCAGACGGAAUUCCUAGUGUAGCGGUGAAAUGCGUAGAUAUUAGGAGGAACACCAGUGGCGAAGGCGGUCUGCUGGACAGCAACUGACGCUGAGGCGCGAAAGCGUGGGGAGCAAACAGG
rnacentral:rRNA from 1 species